rnacentral:rRNA from 1 species
GAUGAACGCUGGCGGCGUGCUUAACACAUGCAAGUCGAACGGGAUCCAUCAGGCUUUGCUUGGUGGUGAGAGUGGCGAACGGGUGAGUAAUGCGUGACCGACCUGCCCCAUACACCGGAAUAGCUCCUGGAAACGGGUGGUAAUGCCGGAUGCUCCAGUUGAUCGCAUGGUCUUCUGGGAAAGCUUUCGCGGUAUGGGAUGGGGUCGCGUCCUAUCAGCUUGACGGCGGGGUAACGGCCCACCGUGGCUUCGACGGGUAGCCGGCCUGAGAGGGCGACCGGCCACAUUGGGACUGAGAUACGGCCCAGACUCCUACGGGAGGCAGCAGUGGGGAAUAUUGCACAAUGGGCGCAAGCCUGAUGCAGCGACGCCGCGUGAGGGAUGGAGGCCUUCGGGUUGUAAACCUCUUUUAUCGGGGAGCAAGCGAGAG